rnacentral:snRNA from 1 species
AUCUGUUCUUAUCAGUUUAAUAUCUGAUAUGUUCUCUAUAUGAGAACUCUAUAUUAAAUAGAUUUUUGAAACAGGGAAAGGGAUUAGGAGCUUGCUCCAUCCUUUCCAUGCAUUGACCUGGUAUUGCAGUGUUUCCAGGAACAGUGCACUUCCC